UACAGAGACCUCAAGCGUUAUCCGGAAUCAUUGGGCGUAAAGCGUACCGAUAGGUUGUUUUAUUAGUCUUGGGUAAAAGCCAGAAGCUCAACUUCUGAGUUUGCUUAAGAUACUGUAAAACUAGAGGGGCAAAGAGGUGCUUGGAACGAACGGUGUAGUAGUGAAAUGCGUAGAGAUCGGGAGGAACACCAGUGGCGAAGGCGGCUCGCUGGGCCGGACCUGACGCUGAGGCGCGAAGGCGUGGGGGGCGAACGGG
rnacentral:rRNA from 1 species